GCGCGUAGUAUAACUCUCUAAAAACCAUUGUGAAAACGAACGAACCCGUUGCUUCCGGCGGGACAGCCCUUCUGCUGCCGCCGGGUAAAGAACGCAAACUCUUGUUAUUAUUGUUUCUCUGAGUACUUAUUCAAUUAAGUAAA
rnacentral:misc_RNA from 1 species